rnacentral:rRNA from 1 species
UUAAAUUGAAGAGUUUGAUCAUGGCUCAGAUUGAACGCUGGCGGCAGGCCUAACACAUGCAAGUCGAACGGUAACAGAAAGCAGCUUGCUGCUUUGCUGACGAGUGGCGGACGGGUGAGUAAUGUCUGGGAAACUGCCUGAUGGAGGGGGAUAACUACUGGAAACGGUAGCUAAUACCGCAUAACGUCGCAAGACCAAAGAGGGGGACCUUCGGGCCUCUUGCCAUCGGAUGUGCCCAGAUGGGAUUAGCUAGUAGGUGGGGUAACGGCUCACCUAGGCGACGAUCCCUAGCUGGUCUGAGAGGAUGACCAGCCACACUGGAACUGAGACACGGUCCAGACUCCUACGGGAGGCAGCAGUGGGGAAUAUUGCACAAUGGGCGCAAGCCUGAUGCAGCCAUGCCGCGUGUAUGAAGAAGGCCUUCGGGUUGUAAAGUACUUUCAGCGGGGAGGAAGGGAGUAAAGUUAAUACCUUUGCUCAUUGACGUUACCCGCA